UCAGAGGACAAGAGUUUAUUCUACUUGACCAAACACAUACAAAAUACUGGAAGGAGAGUUUUACAACAAAUAUUUAAUGUCUAUGACAUGUAAAAAGGUUUUCCAAAUCAAGAAAAUUCAAACAAUUCAAUACAAAUAUCAUCAAUACUAACACAUGAACAGGUGGCCAACCUUAUUAAUAACCAGAGAAAUACAAAUUAAAACAAUCCAUCAACUUGUAAAAAAGAUGAAAUUACCCAGAGUUGGUGUAGGUGAUGGAAAAUUGUCAUGUUUGUAUACUGUUCAUAGAAGUUAAAUUGACAUAACUUUUUGGUCAGGCAAUUUGGAAGUAUAUAUCUAAAUUAAUAGAGUAGUUUUCUAAUAACCUGGGAAUCUCUUAAUCUAAGAAUCUUUACUGUAGAUUUUUCUAGAACAAAUGUACAAACAUCUAUGUACAAGGGUACUCACUGCAGCAUUUUGCUAAGGAAAAACUCAGAAAAAAUCUAUAUGUUCAACAGAGAACAGGUACAUAAUUUAUGACACAACCGCACAAUAUACACCACUAAAAUAAAGGAUAUAAAUUUAUAUGUAGUAUGAAAAAGAUGUGAAUGAUAGCUUAUUGGUGAAAAACAGCAAUGACUGGAAUAUUGUGUGUAACGUAAUCCUGCUUUUCUGUAUAUAAUGUAGGCAUAGAAAAUAGGAUUGAAAGGACAUACUGUAGUCAACAGUGGAUAUAGCUUUGGUGGAGGGGGUGUAUAAUGGGGAAGGAGAGUCCCUUUUCCUAUCUAUUCCAUAUACAUCUCUGGAUUGAGAAGAUCAUACAUGCAUAUGCAUUACCUUCAAAAUUAAAAUGAUAAAGACAAAAGGAGAAGCUUUGGAUUUGAAUCAUGAUACUACUGUUUGCAACUUAUAUGACCGUGGGGAAGUCGCCUAGCCUCCUGGGGUUUAUUUCCUCAUUUAUAAAAAUAGGGAAAGUAAUAAUACUUGUCUACAUAUCUUCUAGGGUUGUUGGGAGGAUUGAAUGUGAUCAUGGGUUACAGCAUUAUGAAUUAUUUAUUCAUAUAACACAAUUAUUAUAAAAAUAUUUUGCUCUGAUUAAAAUAAAAGAAGGACGAGAUCGUGUGUGUUUUUUUCCCAGUAGCUUUACUAACCAGAAAGCGCCUGCUGAUGUGGUGAUCACAGUUGCUUUGGUGCAGCUUCCUCUUGACUUUUGGCAUUUCUCCAUGCUGCUAGCUAAAGCUGAGGUGGCGACUGUUGAAGGUGUGAGCUCCUCCCCCUCCCGGCACACAUUUGUGUGCGUACUCACACUCAUGCACACACAAACACACACAUGCACACUCUAUCACAGUACAUGAGGUGGCAGCAGCUGCUCCGGCAUAGACUUUCACACAACAUAAAGGGCUUUUUUGGUGUGGUCUGUGCAUUAUUUCCUGUUAAGCAUGAGCUGAGUCAGUGCCCUGCUUUUCCAUCUGAAACCUUUCUGAGGCUCAGGCUGUGUUAAGAGCAAACCCUCUCCCCUCCAUGCCCACCCCAUGGCCCUCUAUUGAAGCCAGAUCUUAAUCUGCUCAUUGCAUGAGGAUUUUCAAACCGAAUGGACUGGGCCAUGUGAGAGAUCACUGAAAGGAACAGACCAAGCAGAGGCUAAGAGACUCCACGUUAAUCUGCUGAGUCGUCUGAAAAUGCACAGCUGUGGGAGCUCACGGUGCUUUAAAGUACUUCGGCAGGAUGUUUGUUCAGGGGGCCUGUUCCUGCAGCCCUGCUGAAUGUUUGGUUAGGAGGCAUAAUCUUUUUUUGGACAGGAUCUCCCAAAUGUAAAGUGAUAGAUGCGAAUGUGGAAUAUAAUACGGAAGAUCCAGCUUGGAUGUCAUAAAUAACAAUAAAUUGUUUAAUCUUGCUGAGCUGUAAAUCUAUGAUUGCCAGAGGUCUUUAGUUCACUGGAACAUAGUAUGGGGGCAGGGGCACUUAGCAAAUAGGCAGUUAUUAUUUUCCAACCAGACAGAAACUGGUCUGAUGGAAUUUAUCUAAAAAGGCAUACACAUGUAUUUUAAUUAAUUGUGACAAUUACUCAGAGAAAACACAUGGCCCUAAAGAGGCUGAGGGGUUUUUUUGUUCUACCUAUAAAUGUAUAUGUAUAUUCACCUAUAUUCUACCUAUGUAUAAGUAAGAGAAUGAGUUUUUGUUUUGGGGAUAUAUAUUUAUACGUAUCUAUACAGAUAUGUAUAAUUUCUGUCUUAAUUUCUGUCUACCUAUUAAGGUGCGGUGCCAGAUGGAAAGUAUUUUUAAGCAUUUAGAUAGCUUAUUCUAUAGCAUAUGUGUGCAUAUAGCCCCCCCAUAAAGCUUUGUCUCUUUUCUGGAUAUAUUUAACAAGAGGCUAGAACAGAGUCCAAAAUGUCAGAAAUGUUUGAAUAUUCCAUAGAAAUGAAGGAGGUGUUUCCAAAUGACCUAUGUUUCUAUGGCAAUAAAUAGAACUUGUGCUGCGUUGGAUGGGUCAGGAGUAAGGAAUAUAAACAGUGUAAGUAUGACUAUUCCAGGCAGAAAUCUACCUUGUAAGAACAGCUUUGUGCAGUGAGCUCAACAACAUUGAUCAGUUAGCAGUCCGGUUCAGUACAACACUGAUCAGGUAGCAAGCCGGUUUGGCAGUGCCAGUCGGAGACACAGAUGGGGACAAUCGAAGAAGAUGCAGGUCAGGACAAGGAUGCAGACAUGUACCUGUCACUACCAUGGACUUCAGCAGCUUCUUAGCAGGUUUAUGAUUAAAGAAGAAAGACAUCGUUGAUAUAUUGGACGACUGAUUAUUGGACAGAAUGGCGUCUUGUCGACACCUGCGGUCUCCUGCAUUAUCAGGAAGAUCAAGGCAGCUGGUGGAAUCAUUCUAACAGCCAGCCACUGCCCUGGAGGACCAGGGGGAGAGUUUGGAGUGAAGUUUAAUGUUGCCAAUGGAGGGCAGACUUCUUGGAGGAAGUGAAAUUUGAACUGCGAUGUGAAGAAUGAGCAGGAGUUAGUGAGGUGAAGAUGAGAGAAGGAGUGUUGCAAACACAGGUCAGUCUGUGCAAAGGCCCUGAGACACAAGGAGCCUAGAACCACGGCUCGAAGACAACCGUCUGGCUGGGGCAUGGCUCGUCUUACAGAUCACAUUAAGGAACAAAUAAUUAUGUUAAGAGUUAUGGGCUGCCAUUAAGGAUUUGGAUAAGAGAGUCUUACAAUCACAUCUGUGUUUUCUAAAGGCCUGACACUGAUUGGUACAUGGAGUACAGCCUGAAGGGAACAAGACUUGUUAGAAAGGAAGCUAUUGGCUGGGUGUGGUGGCUUGUGCCUAUAAUCCCAGCACUUUGGGAAGCUGAG
rnacentral:lncRNA from 1 species